AGUGAACGCUGGCGGUAGGCCUAACACAUGCAAGUCGAACGGCAGCACAGUAAGAGCUUGCUCUUACGGGUGGCGAGUGGCGGACGGGUGAGGAAUACAUCGGAAUCUACUUUUUCGUGGGGGAUAACGUAGGGAAACUUACGCUAAUACCGCAUACGACCUACGGGUGAAAGCAGGGGAUCUUCGGACCUUGCGCGAUUGAAUGAGCCGAUGUCGGAUUAGCUAGUUGGCGGGGUAAAGGCCCACCAAGGCGACGAUCCGUAGCUGGUCUGAGAGGAUGAUCAGCCACACUGGAACUGAGACACGGUACAGACUCCUACGCGAGGCAGCAGUGGGGAAUAGUGGACAAUGGGCGCAAGCAUGAUCCAGCCAUACCGCGUGGGUGAAGAAGGCCUUCGGGUUGUAAAGCCCUUUUGUUGGGAAAGAAAAGCAGCAGGUUAAUACCCCGCUGUUCUGACGGUACCCAAAGAAUAAGCACCGGCUAACUUCGUG
rnacentral:rRNA from 1 species